GGAAGUAAAAGUCGUAACACGGUUUCCGUAGGUGAACCUGCGGAAGGAUCAUUAUUGUAUAACCGAGGUGCGAGGGCUGUCGCUGACCCGAAAGGUCGUGCACGCCCGAGUGCCCUCACACACAUCCAUCUCACCCCUAUGUGCACCACCGCGUGGGUCCCCCUUUGGCUUGUUCGGAGGGGGGCUUACGUUUUCACACAAACUUUGUAUGCAGUGUAGAAUGUAUUUUUUGUUUUUGCGAUCACGCAAUCAAUACAACUUUCAACAACGGAUCUCCUGGCUCUC
rnacentral:misc_RNA from 1 species